GAUAAACGCUGACAGAAUGCUUAACACAUGCAAGUCGAUGAUGGGAGCUAGCUUGCUAGAAGAAGUCAUGGCGGACGGGUGAGUAACGUGUAAAGAACUUACCAUAUAGACUGGGAUAACAGAGGGAAACUUCUGAUAAUACUGGAUAAGUUAGUAGUAGCAUUACUAAGUAAUGAAAGGUAGCAAUACGCUAUAUGAGAGCUUUGCAUCCUAUUAGCUAGUUGGUGGGGUAAAAGCCUACCAAGGCGAUGAUAGGUAGCCGGCCUGAGAGGGUGGACAGCCAAAAGGGGACUGAGAUACGGCCCUUACUCCUACGGGAGGCAGCAGUGGGGAAUAUUGGACAAUGGAGGCAACUCUGAUCCAGCAAUUCUGUGUGUGUGCAGAAGGUUUUAGGACUGUAAAACACUUUUAGUAGGGAAGAAAGAAAUGACGGUACCUACAGAAGAAGCGACGGCUAAAUACGUG
rnacentral:rRNA from 1 species